AACGAACGCUGGCGGCAGGCCUAACACAUGCAAGUCGAACGCCCUGGCAACAGGGAGUGGCAGACGGGUGAGUAAAGCGUGGGAACGUGCCCUUCGGUUCGGAAUAACUCAGGGAAACUUGAGCUAAUACCGAAUACGUGCGAGAGAAGAAAGAUUUAUCGCCAAGGAUCGGCCCGCGUCCGAUUAGCUAGUUGGUGAGGUAAUGGCUCACCAAGGCGACGAUCGGUAGCUGGUCUGAGAGGAUGAUCAGCCACACUGGGACUGAGACACGGCCCAGACUCCUACGGGAGGCAGCAGUGGGGAAUAUUGGACAAUGGGCGCAAGCCUGAUCCAGCCAUGCCGCGUGAGUGAUGAAGGCCCUAGGGUUGUAAAGCUCUUUCGCCAGGGACGAUAAUGACGGUACCUGGAUAAGAAGCCCCGGCUAACUUCGUGCCAGCCGCCGCGGUAA
rnacentral:rRNA from 1 species